rnacentral:rRNA from 1 species
UUAAUAUUAGUUAUGAAAGAUAUUUCAAGAAAUUUAUAUACUCUAGUUUUUUAAGAGUAAAAGUUUAAUUAAUAAUUUUUAUAAAGAUUAAUAUGGUUUAGCUUAUUAAUUUUAUAUACUGAUAGGAUUUUUUAACCUUAGUAAAUUUGAUAGUGUUUAUUUUAUAAAUUUAUAAUGGAGGGUAAUAUGAAUAAAAAUUUUUAUUUGUUAUUUUUAUAUUAAAAAAUUUAUUUAAAUUUUAGAGAUUUAUUUAUAAUGAAAAAAUUAGUAAAAAAUUAUUUAUAUUAAAAGGUAAUUAAUAAUUUAUAAAUGUUAUAGUUAUUAUAAAAAAUGAAUUCGGCAAAAAGUAUUAUUUGACUGUUUAGCAAAAACAUUGUUUCAUGAAGAAUAUAUGAAAUAAUGUCUGUCCACUGAUAUAUUUGAAGGACUGCAGUAUAUUGACUGUAUAAAAGUAGCAUAAUCAUUAGCUUUUUAAUUUGGGGUUGGUAUGAAGGCGAAACGGAUAAGUUCUUUAUUUUUUAUAAAUGUUUUAAGUUUAUUUUUAAGUGAAAAAUCUUAAUUAGAUGAGAGGGACAAGAAGACCCUAAUAAGUUUUAUUUUUAUUUUAUUUAUGUUAUAGGAAAAUAGAAUUAGAUAAUAUUAUAUUAGAAAUUUGGUUGGGGCGAUUAGUUAUAAAACAUAAUUUAUUUAUAAUUUUU